AUUGAACGCUGGCGGCAUGCCUUACACAUGCAAGUCGAACGGCAGCACGGGGGCAACCCUGGUGGCGAGUGGCGAACGGGUGAGUAACAUAUCGGAACAUACCCUAGAGUGGGGGAUAACGUAGCGAAAGUUACGCUAAUACCGCAUACGAUCUAAGGAUGAAAGUGGGGGAUCUUCGGACCUCAUGCUCAUGGAGUGGCCGAUAUCUGAUUAGCUAGUUGGUGAGGUAAAGGCUCACCAAGGCGACGAUCAGUAGCUGGUUUGAGAGAACGACCAGCCACACCUGGAACUGAGACACGGUCCAGACUCCUACGGAGGCAGCAGUGGGGAAUUUGGACAAUGGGGCAACCCUGAUCCAGCAAUGACCGCGUGAGUGAAGA
rnacentral:rRNA from 1 species